UGCAUCGGCCGGGAAUUGAACCCGGGCCGCCAGCGUGGCAGGCGAGCAUUUUACCACUGAACCACCGAUGC
rnacentral:tRNA from 1 species